UGGAUUCUUUUAGUUAUUUGCUUGGCUAAAUCUCAGGUCUACAUAUUUGAUUCUAUGCAGAAGAAGAGAAAUUUGAUGAUUAAGAACCAAUUGAACCUGGCUUUUCGGACUUACAAGGCACAAAAUGGAAAAUCUAAAGGAACUAAAUUGAAUUGGAUUGCGGCACAGUGUCCUCAACAACCGGGAUCACUAGAGUGUGGCUACUACGUCAUGCGUUUUAUGUACGAUAUAUUUACAAAGCAUCUUGAUAGUCAAGAUCU